rfam:Triticum aestivum genome assembly, contig: Triticum_aestivum_CS42_TGACv1_scaffold_223317_3B
GUAGUAUUCCCUCCGUCCCAAAAUUCUUGUCUUACAUUUGUUUAUAUACAGAUGUAUCUAACACUAAAAUGUAACUAGAUACAUCCAUACUUAGACAAAUUUAAGACAAGAAUUUUGGGACGGAGGGAGUACAAA